GAUGAGGUUAAUAGGUUCGAGGUGGAAGCAUGGUGACAUGUGGAGCUGACGAAUACUAAUCGAUCGAAGACUUAAUCAA
rnacentral:rRNA from 1 species